GAUGAACGCUGGCGGCGUGCCUAAUACAUGCAAGUCGAGCGAACGGACGAGAAGCUUGCUUCUCUGAUGUUAGCGGCGGACGGGUGAGUAACACGUGGAUAACCUACCUAUAAGACUGGGAUAACUUCGGGAAACCGGAGCUAAUACCGGAUAAUAUUUUGAGCCGCAUGGUUCAAAAGUGAAAGACGGUCUUGCUGUCACUUAUAGAUGGAUCCGCGCUGCAUUAGCUAGUUGGUAAGGUAACGGCUUACCAAGGCAACGAUGCAUAGCCGACCUGAGAGGGUGAUCGGCCACACUGGAACUGAGACACGGUCCAGACUCCUACGGGAGGCAGCAGUAGGGAAUCUUCCGCAAUGGGCGAAAGCCUGACGGAGCAACGCCGCGUGAGUGAUGAAGGUCUUCGGAUCGUAAAACUCUGUUAUUAGGGAAGAACAUAUGUGUAAGUAACUGUGCACAUCUUGACGGUACCUAAUCAGAAAGCCACGGCUAACUACGUGCCAGCAGCCGCGGUAAUACGUAGGUGGCAAGCGUUAUCCGGAAUUAUUGGGCGUAAAGCGCGCGUAGGCGGUUUUUUAAGUCUGAUGUGAAAGCCCACGGCUCAACCGUGGAGGGUCAUUGGAAACUGGAAAACUUGAGUGCAGAAGAGGAAAGUGGAAUUCCAUGUGUAGCGGUGAAAUGCGCAGAGAUAUGGAGGAACACCAGUGGCGAAGGCGACUUUCUGGUCUGUAACUGACGCUGAUGUGCGAGAGCGUGGGGAUCAAACAGGAUUAGAUACCCUGGUAGUCCACGCCGUAAACGAUGAGUGCUAAGUGUUAGGGGGUUUCCGCCCCUUAGUGCUGCAGCUAACGCAUUAAGCACUCCGCCUGGGGAGUACGACCGCAAGGUUGAAACUCAAAGGAAUUGACGGGGACCCGCACAAGCGGUGGAGCAUGUGGUUUAAUUCGAAGCAACGCGAAGAACCUUACCAAAUCUUGACAUCCUUUGACAACUCUAGAGAUAGAGCUUUCCCCUUCGGGGGACAAAGUGACAGGUGGUGCAUGGUUGUCGUCAGCUCGUGUCGUGAGAUGUUGGGUUAAGUCCCGCAACGAGCGCAACCCUUAAGCUUAGUUGCCAUCAUUAAGUUGGGCACUCUAAGUUGACUGCCGGUGACAAACCGGAGGAAGGUGGGGAUGACGUCAAAUCAUCAUGCCCCUUAUGAUUUGGGCUACACACGUGCUACAAUGGACAAUACAAAGGGCAGCGAAACCGUGAGGUCAAGCAAAUCCCAUAAAGUUGUUCUCAGUUCGGAUUGUAGUCUGCAACUCGACUACAUGAAGCUGGAAUCGCUAGUAAUCGUAGAUCAGCAUGCUACGGUGAAUACGUUCCCGGGUCU
rnacentral:rRNA from 1 species